GACGAACCGUCCUAACGUUGUUCGGAAUCACUGGGCUUAAAGGGCGCGUAGGCGGGCGAUCAAGUCAGGGGUGAAAUCUUUCGGCUUAACCGGAAAAUGGCCCCUGAUACUGAUUGUCUUGAGGGAGAUAGGGGCCAUGGGAACUUCUGGUGGAGCGGUGAAAUGCGUUGAUAUCAGAAGGAACGCCGGUGGCGAAAGCGCAUGGCUGGACCUCUUCUGACGCUGAGGCGCGAAAGCUAGGGUAGCGAACGGG
rnacentral:rRNA from 1 species